rnacentral:lncRNA from 1 species
GGAAAGGUCCCUGGAGUCAGAGCCUUGUGUCUGUCUUGUUCACCACAAUUUCCCACCUACAACAUGCCCUGGCAAAUAUAUGCAAGCGGGGAGGAAAUUGGCUCCAACUCAGUGAAAUGCUGACAGCUUUACAAAGCCUUAAAUGCAGAGCGAACGAACCAAAACAAGUUAGACUUUUCCAAUCAGCAAAUUCUCUAAUCAGCGCGAAGAAAUAGGAAAGACAGGGAAGAUUUUUCAAGUUGUGUUUUUCAAGAUCAUGUUAUUAUUGAUCCAAAACUAUGGAAAUAAGAGGAUGUAAGGCAAGGCUUAGUAAUAGCAAAUGCUAUCUGACAUUUGUGCACCGGGCACUGUUCUCAAUGGUGAGCGUGGAUCAACUCAGCUCAACCCUCCUCGGAUUGAUUGCUCUGAGCUGGGUACUGUUACUGUCCCCACUUCAGUAGAUGGAGAAGUGGUGGCACAAGGAGGUUCAGAGGCUGGGCCACGAUCACACAGGGGGGAGCUGGGCUUCAUACCUAGGAUCUGCUCCACAGCCUGGGCUCCCAACCACGCCAAAUCGGAGCCGCCAGCGCCAGCGUGGGCUCCCUGAACCAAGAGUCAGCACCUCGCCUCUGCAGCUCUGGAAGCCAGUGCACUCUGAGAAGACCCCAGGGAGCCACCACGCCCUGGACACCCUGCUCUCGCUUCCAAGCUCCAGGACUCCCAGGGACACCCAGUGUCUUCAGCAUGCAGCUCUCGCUGGACCUUGGAUGCUUUGGGGUGCAUUUUGUACCCAGUAAAGACCACUAAAUAUACUUGGAUAAUAAACAGAGCUACUCAUUCUACCCAACACACUGAUAACCAAAGCAUUCUGAACAUACCGUCUGCCAACAAUUAAAUUUACAAACCACUCCAAACUCACCUACAGCAAGUAGCCCAGACACAGUGUGUGAUAUUUGGAUAGGUGCAUCCACAUGGCAGAUAAACCUUACUUUCUCUCCCCAACACCCUAAGAGUGCAGAAAAUGUGUCAGAGGGAAAGAAGUUGGCUCUCUGGAGUUUUAAACAGCAGGUUUGCACCCCACCCCCAUGGGAGAAGGCUGGCAUUCAGUGAUGUCUGAAAGCAUGCAGGGCAAAGUCACCCCUUCUUGACUCAGGGAACACCAAGGGGCCUAAGGCCUAGGACUAGGAGGCAGCUGGAGAAGGACAUGAAGCAAGCUUAUAUUAUUGUUGUUGUCAGCAAUAUCUGUGAACUGAGCACCUCCUUGGUGCUAAAUCCCAGGUGUACCUGGCAUCACUCGAAGAGGAAGAAACCAAUCCCUCUGCCUCAUCAUGUAGUUGAACAGCUAAAGAGCAGACAGCAUUGCUCCCACCAGCCCAAUGGGCUCAGCUCACGGGCUCCUGUCAAGAGAUGUGAUCAUCUCAUUGUUCAUCUGCGCCUUUGUCUCAUCUAGCUGUCAAAACAACCUCAUGAGGUGGGUGUCAUUUCCCCCCACUUGCCACGUGAGAAACCAAGGACAAGGGGAUAAGCAACCUUCCCAAGGCCAUACAGAAGUCAGAUUUUAAACCCCAAACUCCCUUAUUUGAAUUCCAAGUCUGUUCUACUAUCAUUUGCUGCCUCAAGAAGGGAGUGUUAAAUCCCAAGGAAGGCUGGGAACUGGGUCAAGUUCACGGGAUCUGAAUAAUGAGAAAGUCACCUCAGGACUAGGUGGGGUAAAUGGAGACAAAGUUGAGGUUCCAGUCUCUACUAGUCUUUCCCCUUGAAAACAUCAGCUUGUAUCCAUCUAGACUACAUCUUGCAUGAAAGUUCCAUGGAGAAGAACAGCACUGGCCCUGCUACUGACCAGGUGGGUGUCCCAGCCUCAGCAUCCUCAUUGUCAAAUGAGGUAUCCUAAAAGCUUCUGUCCCCUGACACUGUGGAUUUCUGUGAUUAUAAUUUCUUGAUCAUACCAUGACAUCAUUCCUGACAGUAUAAACCAUUCUAUUCACUCAGUUAUUCACUUAUUCAUUUAAUAACCACUGAUUAUCCAACUAUCAGGUAGCUGACAGUCUACUAGGCAGUGGAGAUACAGAGAGAAAUAAAGUAAUAUUUUGCCCUCAUGGAGUGCAAACUCCAAAUGGAAAUAGAUAUAUAUAGAGAGACAUAGAUAUCCCCAUAUAUCAAGCUGCAUUGGGGAUGCAAUAAUAAAAGAUUUUUUAAAAAUCUAAUUCUCAACUCUCUUCAGAAAGAAACAGACCAAAGAAUUAAUCACUGUUAAUGGCUGCCCUUGGCAGAAGCAGUAGCAUUUGAAAAAUAUGCCACCAGGCUCCCACUUUUCCAGCCACCUUUGCAUUUGGGAGGAAUCAGGUGAGUAGUUCUGGCCAACAUGUCACUUCGGGGCUGAAGCCUGGAAGAGCCAGGAGGUAAUCCUCUGUAUGUCUCUGCUUCUAUGGCAACCACACAUUCCUGAUGAUGGCACCCUGGUCACCUUGGGUCCCUGAGUGACUCUGUGGAGCAGAGUCCUUCUGAUGACCCACAAAGGGCAGAGAAGACAGAAAAUGGAAUGAAUCUGUG